rnacentral:lncRNA from 10 species
CCCAGUCUGCUGGCCAGGGCUAAUGCAAUCUUCAGGGUCUGAAAAUACAGCAGGGAUAUGGAAGAGGCUGCCAGGCCCCUCCCAGAACCCACACCCAGUGGACUUUCGUGUGUGAGAAAACUUGGAGGGGAUUUAGUCCUGCCCUAUGGCAGUACCCAAUCUCCCCACUCCUAAUAUCCUUAAAUCCAGGGAAAGGCAGACGGGUCAGCCUUACCUCUGCCACCCAGUGAAGAGCCUGUUCUCGGGAUACCAGGCUGGUGAGAUUGAAGCCCUCCAGGAUGUUGAGAGCACUGAUGAGGGCAGGGCCCGUGUGCGGAGGUGGGGGACUAAGAACCAGGUGGCCUGAAAGGACAGGAAGUGACUGAUGGCAGGGUAGGGGUCAAGGCACCUUCACAUCCCACAUCCCAUCUCCACAUUCCACCAUCACACACUGAGACCACUGCGCUGAACUCCCUCACCAGAUGGGGAAACUGAAACAUUGAGAGGCAAAGAGACUCAUUCAAGUUCACAUGGCAAGUCAAGGGCAGGGCCAGGACUUGAACUCAGAACACUGGUCUUCAGUUUCCUCUGCCAUUUGAGAAAACUAAGGCUCAAGAGGGCUGUGGCUUGCCCAGAGUCACACUGCAGGCUAUCAGCAGAGCACAGCAGAAACAGGUGACCAGAUGUUCAUAUUCCUGGCCUGUCAUGUGUCUCCUUUUAGCUCUCCCAUAGGCCAGGAUAUUAUCCAUGACUCCUGAUGGUCUCAUCCAGCCCCAAACUUCUUGGCAGCAGCAACCUUCUCUUCCUAUUCUGUUACUAGAUGUUUGGACAUCAAAGGAAUAAUAGCUGAUGCAUAACACUAACAUUAACUCAUUUAGUCCUCACUGUGGCUACUGUUAUCACACAUAUUUGAUAGGUCCAGAAACUGUGGUACAGAGAGACAAGGGGAAUCCAGAGCACUCAAGGUACUAGCAUUGUUGAGACAACCCAGGCUGGGAAGGGGAAAUGGAAAAUCUAUAUUCAGUGCAUGCUCUGAUCAGGGCAACUUCCUACAUCAUCUCAUCAAAUCCUUAUGGGCAUCCUAAGAUGUAGGCACUAUUAUUAUUUCCAUUUUAAGGAGGGAACCAAGGCUCAGAGUGGGAAGUAGCUUGUUCAAGGUAAAUGGCACAGUUGGUACUCAAACCCAGGUCUUCCUAGCUCCAACGCUACGCUUGUUCUUUUUUCUUUUCUGUGUGUGUGUGUGUGUGUGUGUGUGAUAAUGGUCUCACUCUGUCACCCAGGCUGUAGUGCAGUGGCACAAUCAUGCUUACUGCAGCCUUGACCUCCCAGGCUCAAGCAAUCCUCCCAUCUCAACCUCCUGAGUAGCUAGGACUAUAGGUACACCACCACGCCUGGGUAAUUUUUAAAUUUUUUAUAGAGACGGUGUCUCACUAUGUUGCCCAGGCUGGUCAUGAACUCCUGGGCUCAAGUGAUCCUCCUGCCUCAGCCUCCCAAUGUGCUGGGGUUAUAGGCCUGAGCCACUGCACCCAGCUGAUAGGCUCUUUCCAUUGCUUCAUAUUCCACUGCCUCUGGCAGAGGAAUCAGGUUGGAGAUUGAGGCCUGGAAAGUUGAACUCAGAGAAACCCUUUCCUGGGGCUUGAUGUGAUCUGGCUCUCCUAGAAGGGAAAGAACCUGAGAAUCUUCUGAGAAAUCCAGCACCUACCACCUUGGGUUCAGUAAACAUGGACCCCACCCAUGUCAUAAGCUUGGUUUUCUGGGUUCCCUGUUGGUUUUCUUGAGUUUGGCCAGUUGUUAUAUUCCCUCCUCGGGCCUCAAUUUCUUUUUGGCACUAUGAGGAGCUGGGUCUAUGACUGUCUUGAAAGGUUCAUUCUACUGUGAAGCUUGGAUGGACUUUGUCUUAAAAAUUCUUAGGAAGUACAGGGCAGUGACAGCGCUGCUGGGGAAAGGGCAGAGGCAACACAGAGCCCAAAUCAAGAAAACCUAUGGCCAGAACCCCAACUUCCAGGUUGGACCCUUUGACCAGGUCCACCCCCCAAUAUCCUAAAUACUUGGGGUAACUGACCCCACAGCUACUUUUCAGAAGGUGGGCUGACUCUGGUUUGCUUCAACAGUUGACUGCCCAGGUAGCUCACUGCCUUAGUUUCUCUCCUGUGAAAUGGAGAGGAGUCUCUAGGCCAAAACGAUGUGGCCAUGGACUGGGAGGCUUCUCCUGAGGGGGGACCCUGGGAGCCGGGGGAGAGGUCACCUCUGUACACGCCACACACAGGCUUCUCCACAAGGGCGCUGUAAUUGCUGAAGUCCUCUUCGGUUAUGACACCCCCUGCGUGCUGAGCCUGGAGGGAAGAGAAUGAGGGAAUGACCUCCCACCACUGUGACAUGGUGGUUUUGGCCUAUAACACGUUUGGAUCACAGACAGAUCAGCUGUUUAUAACUUCUGUGCCUUCUGCAACCCCCAUCGUGGCCUUUAGAGACCCCAUUAUCCCUAGACACCUCAGGAAAAAGGAAGGGGGAAAAGCACUAACAUUGAGCACCUAUCAUGUGCCAGGCAUCACACUGGGUACAUUCCAUGAAUGACCUCCUUAGCUUGCCAUUCAAGACUUUUUGUGAUCUGGCCCCAGCCUACCCCUCCCACCUCAUGUCCUGCUGUUCCCCAGUGAGCUCUAUGCAGCUGCAGAGUGACCUGCAGUUCCUGAACUCAUGCCUUCGUGUCUUUGUACCUGCUGCUCUCUCUGCCUAUGUAAAAGGAAGGUUUUCUACUUAUGGCACACUUGCC